CCACUGCUGCACUUCUUUACCCAUAAGUGAGUGCCUUGGUCAAAGGCAAUGCUGUGUGAAAUACUAUGACAGUGGAUAAGGCAUUCUGUGAGUCCAUGGAUGGUAGUCCUGGCAGAAGAAUUGCGUGCAGGAUAGGCAAACCCAUAUCCAGAGUAUUUAUAAAGACAUUUGGAGAGGUAUUAUCAACAUUUUAUAGAAAAGGACCCUCAUCCUGACUAUGCUAUGUUGCCAGAAGAGUCUGUUUCAGAUGGAAUUGUACAUCCAGAUUACCAAGGCAAAAGAAAUAGAAUGCGGCAAAUCAUGCCUAGUUUUUUGAACUUUGGUCUUUAAGUAUCACAUUUUACUCCCUUCUCCUCUCCUCUGGCAAAGCACGUCAUGCCACAGUAAAUAAUUGCAACAUGGUUGAGGAAGUAGAGUUAUAUUAUGUGCCAGAAAGGGAAAAGGGAAUAUUUGUAAUUAGCCAAAAUGACUACUACAUUCACAUUAAUGAAGCUUCCUUUAAAGGAACAGAGUAACAAUAAUAUAAAAUCAAAAUGUUAAGGUA